rnacentral:lncRNA from 1 species
CAGAACCUGAGGGAAGAGAAGUUAGGAAUUGAUUGUCUUCAAAGGAGACCAGGCAUGGGAUAAGUUUCUGAGGGAGAUUAUUAACCACACAGUUAGGAGGAGAAGCAAAAAUCUUGGAAAAAUAACUCAAAACAUGCUCUUCAAUAGCUUGGAGGGUGGAAAAAACCUCUUCCACUUCUAAGCAAAGUGAUGUGACUCUGAGAUUCUCUAAUUUUGACCACCCUAUAAAAAAGGAAGUGUUUC